rnacentral:rRNA from 1 species
AGGUGACAAUAGCGGUGGGGUCCACCUCUUCCCAUUCCGAACAGAGAAGUUAAGCCCACCAGCGCCGAUGGUACUUGCCAAAAGCCGGAAGAGUAGGUCGUUGCCUGUU